rnacentral:lncRNA from 1 species
CAAUGAUCGGGAUAUAAACCCAGGUAUUCAAGCCAGCAACAGCUACCCUCUUUGGGUCUCCUCCCUUUGUACGGGAGCUCUGUUUUCACUCUAUUAAAUCUUGCAACUGAAAAAAAAAUCCUGCUAGUUUAAACUUCCGUGACAAUCCAAAUAUUCCACUCCCUAGUGUUGAUAUUAUAGUAGAAGCUGAACCACCAGAUGUUGUGAAGUUUGCCAUACCAUCAGGUGCUGUGAAUCAGUUUUUAAGUUUCUUGAAAACUACAAUGGUACUUUGAGAGCUGAGUGGGUAUCUCUGGAAGGGCCUAUGAGAGAAACAAUUAGAAAGUCUUCUAAGUGACUUGUCUGGGGAUCAGCAGAGGGACCUGCUUGGGGACUAGAAAGUGGACUUCCUAUGGGAAACAUAGGGGUCCAUGCUGUGAGUCCUGCAAGAGGGCAUGCUGAGAGACAUGCUAGGGAAUACAUGUGAAGUCAUACAAGGAGACUUAUUGUGAGGCCUGGAGGGAGACAUGCUCUGAGUCCUAUAAAGAGGGCAUGCUGAGAGACAUGCAAGAGGAUAUGCCAUGAGUCCUACAAGAGGACUUGCUGUGAGUCCUGAAAAAGGCCAUUCUGUGAGUCGUUCAAAGAAACCUGUGGUAAAUCCUGCAAGAUGACAUGCUAAGAGACUUGUUAUGGUGUUUGCUGUGAGUCCUACAAAGAAAUGUGCUGAGCGUCCUACCAGAGAAUAUGCUGAGACAAGCAAAGCAAUGAAUUGUGAGAUCUUCAAAGAGACGUCCUGUGAGUUCUGCACAGAUAUUUGUUCUGGGAUGGGCAAGAACUACUGUGAGUCCCACAAGGAGACCUCUUAUGAUGCCUGAAAGGGAACUUGUUCUGGGAGUUGCAAUGGGACUUACCAUAAAACCAACAGAAGCAUAUGCUGGGGAAACUUCAAGAUCUGCAAAACAGUUAACUCAUAAGUACAACUAACAACACUGAAAAUAGAUACAACAACCAGUAAGAUUCUGAAAAGUGGAGAGAGGAACGAAGAUCAGUUAGGAACCUCAAGACCCGAGGAACAACACAGUGGUGAGCACCCUGAAUUUUCUUAUGCUUUUUAUAUCCUGAACUAGUUGCUGGAGGAACCAACAACUUGGAAAUGCCAGCAGGUGCAGACAUCAAAAGGAUAAGAAGGGAAUACUAUGAACAACUCAACACAAAUAAAUUUGACAACUUAAAUAAAGUUGACUGAUUGGCUGAAAAAGUACGAAAUACCACAGAUUAUUCAAAAUAAAACAGAUACUUGAAAUAGUCCUAUGUCUAUUAAGAAAUUUAAUUUGUAACUUGAAAACCUCACAAAAAUUAUCUUUAGUCUGAAAUAAUUUCACUGACAAAUUCUAUCAGAAAAUUGUAGCUGGACCCCUUCUUUACACCAUAUACAAAAAUCAAUUCAAGAUGGACUAAAAACUUAAAUGUAAAAUCCCAAACUAUGAAAAACCCUGAAAAACAACAUAGGCAAUACCAUUCAGUACAUAGGCACAGGAAAAGAUUUCGUGACAGAGACACCAAAAACAAUUGUAACAAAAGCAAAAAUUGACAGAUGGAUUCUAAUUAAACUAAAGCUUCUGCACAGCAAAAGCAACUAUUAGCUGAGUAAAUAGACAACCUAUGGAAUGGGAGAAAACCUUAGCAAACUAUGCAUUCAACAAAGGUCUAAUAUCCAGCAUCUAUAAGGAGCUUAAACAAAUUAAAAAAAAAAAAAAAAACCAUGUUAAAAAGUGGACAAAGGACACGAACAGACACUUUUCAAAAGAAGACAUACAUGUGGCCAACAAGCAUAUGAAAAAAUGCUCAACAUCACUGAUUAUUAGAGAAAGGCAAAUGAAAACCAUGGUGAGAUAUUAUCUCACACCAGUCUGAAUGGCUAGUAUUAAAAAGUGAAAAAAAAUAACUGAUGCUUGUGAAAUUGUGGAGAAAAGGAAUGCUUAUACUCUGUUGUUGAGUGUGUAAAUUAGUUCAGCCAUUGAGGAAGACACUGUGGCGAUUCAUCAAAGACCUAAAGACAGAAAUACCACUAGACCUACAAAUCUCAUUACUAGGCAUGUACCCAAAGGCAUAUAAAUCAUUUUAUCAUGCAGUAGUAUGUUCACUGAAGCACUAGUCACUAUAGCAAAGACAUGGCAUCAACCUAAAUGUCCACCAGUGAUAGACUGGAUAAUGAAAAUGUGGUACAUAUACACCAUGGAAUACUAUACAGCCAUAAAAAACAAGAUCAUGUGCUUUGGAGCAACAUGGAGGGACCUGGAGGCCAUUAUCCUUAGCAAACUAAUGCAGGAAUAGAAAACCAAAUACUGCAUGUUCUCUCUUAUAAGUGGGAGCUAAGUGAUGAGAACACCUUGGCAUAUAGAGGAGAACUACAGACACUGGGGCCUUUUGGAGGGUGGAAGGUGGCAGAAAGGAGAAGAUCAGGAAAAAUUACUAAUGGGUACUAGGCUUAAUAGCUGGGUGAUGAAAUAAUAUGUACAACAAAACACCAUGAGACAAGUUUACCAUGUGACAAACCUGCACUUGUAUCCCUGAACUUUCAAAAAAAUACAUUACUGGAGUAAAUUUUCUUCUGUA